rnacentral:pre_miRNA from 1 species
GCACCGUCCCCGACCACUUUCCCUCCCCGGCGAGUCCCUUUUUUUCCAGUUUUCCGGCAAGAUCGACUUUGUUUGAAGUUUUGGGUGAUCUCGCCGGAAAACUGGAAAAGAAUGGACUCUCCGGGGAGGGAAAGUGGUCGGGGACGCUGC